rnacentral:rRNA from 1 species
UGAGCAAUCUGCCCUUCUCUUCGGAAUAAGCCUUGGAAACGACGUCUAAUGCCGAAUACGACCUCCUUUCGCAUGAUCGGAGGUGGAAAGCUCCGGCGGAGAAGGAUGAGCUCGCGGCCUAUCAGCUAGUUGGUGUGGGUAAUGGCCCACCAAGGCGACGACGGGUAGCCGGCCUGAGAGGGUGACCGGCCACAGUUGGGACUGAGACACGGCCCAGACCUCCCGUACGGGGAGG